UUUUCUUUCAAACUUUGUUUAUUAUGAGUAAUAUAUGAUAAUGAAAAAUACAAAGUUUUGAUAACAUGAGAAGAAUACAACCACUUAUCAUUCAAAAUGCUUAAAAAGAUCUUUUAUCAGUAACAAUCUCAACAGGGUAUUAUUUAUUUGAAAAAUCUAUAUUCCAGUAUUCUCACUGUCCCACAUACAUUUAACUGUAAAUCAAAAUAUGAAUUUCUUCUGUCUAAAAGAAUAUUAAGAUAUAUAUCAUCUAUUCUGAAAAAUAUACUAUUUUUUUUGGUUUCCAUAAUAUUUAUAGAAGAAAUAAAUCAUAAGAAAAAAAGUUUUUGAUUAGAGUUUUGCCAUAGCUCAAAAAAGAGAUAACUUGAUUGGGUUCUUGCAAAAGGUAUAACAAUGUUCUGAGAAUUCUAGUUUUGAAAGCCAUCAAUAUCAUUAGUUUCUUAAUAUCAAAAUAAAAAUCAUUCAUGUCUGUAAAAAGGAAUAACAAAUGCCGUUAUUGACUUCUGAAACAGAAUAACAAAAACAAUUGUCAUUAUUGACUUUUGAAAUGGAAUAACAAAAACAAUAGCCAUUAUUGACUUUUGAAAUGGAAUAACAAAAACAAUUGUCAUUAUUGAUUUUUGAAAUGGAAUAACAAAAACAAUUGCCAUUAUUGAUUUUUGAAAUGGAAUAACAAAAACAACUACCUUUAGUUGGCAGCAGUCCUUUUGCGCCAAUUACUGUUUUCCAGGGGUAUCAUUUGCGCCAAAUUUUAUUUUCGAAAUGUAUCAAUUGCGGCAAUAUUCGGUACUCAUUUGUGCCAAUUUACCUGUACAUAUAUCUAUCAUAAAUAUUAAUGAUUACUAUAUAUGUAUUCUUAUUUUUGCCCCAAAAGGUAGCACAUGUUAGGAGAUAUUUCACCAUAAAGACGAGUUUCUGAAGAGAAUUAAAUGAAUUAAGCAGCAUUAGACAGUCAAUGUACAGAGAGAGAAUAAAACUUAUUGCUUUGCUUAACAAAGAUAUGCCAAUAUAGAAAAUAGAAGUUUUUGCUCUUUAUGUUUAAGCCACAAAUGUUGAUGACACAGAGCUUUGUUCCCACCAUGUGUAUGGGCUUUAUUAUUAUUAUGAACUAUUAUUUAUUAACUAUUUUAUGGAUUUCAUCCUUCAAUGUUUGUGUUUUUGGACAAUAAAAAGAAGUUAAAAGCUACUACAUACAUUAAAUUGGGAAGUACCCAUGCAGCAGCAGUAAUAAAAACAUAUGUUUCAGAAAAGGAAACAUGUGCGGUGUUACACUGCCGGUUCAAGUCCAAAUAAAGGAGUAAGGAAGUAAUUUUCUUGUAACUGGCGCAAUCGUAUGUUUUUUUUUUGGCGCAAAUGAAACCAUCUAAUUUUAAAACAUGUGGCGCAAACGUAGCAUUUGAGAAAAAAAGUUGUGGCGCAAAAGGACGCAUUUUUGGCGCAAACGGAUCUCUCCCCUUUAGUUCUUGAAUGGUAAAACAGAAUAACAAAAACAAUUGCCUAUCGUUAUUGAAUGCUAAAACAGAAUAACAAAAACAAUCGCCAUUAUUGAUUUUUUAACAAAAAACAAUUGCCAGUUUUUACUUCUUAAAUAAAAUACCAAAAACAAUUCCAUAUUAUAUGACUCCUGAAAUGGAAUAACAAGAACAGUUUCAAAUUUUGACUUCUAAAACUUAAUGACUAAAAAUGUUGCCUUUGGUGACUUCUGAUAUGUUUUGACUUUUUUAUUGCAUGGUAAAUUAUGGAGUCAAUUAUAACAGUAAUAAAAAUCAUUUUCAAUUUGUUUUACUCAUUUGAAACCCCUAUAUAAACUUCAUUUGAUUUGAAUAAAAUACCACUGUUUUCAGAAUCAAUACAUAAUUAAAGGAAUAUAUUAUAUAUAAUUUAUAUCGAGUUAAGAAAAUAAAAAUCUGAAUUUAUCACAUGCUUAGUUUAGAUUCUAUCACAUGUUCAUUUAUCUAUCAAUAUAUAUCUUUUAAUAUAUCUAUAUAAAAAAAAUCCAUCAAAAACGCAUUCAGACUAGACAAAACCACCAAACACUAUUCAGUGAGCGAGAUACAAUUUUCUAUAACAUUUAUUCCAUAUUGGUAUUUUUUUAGUAGGUUUCUCUAUAUGAAUUGGAUUUUGAAUAAAAAAGCAUAUUCACCUGAGAAAGUGUUAUUCACCGCGCUAAACGUCACGCGCUUUUACAUGCAACGGUACGGUAAAAUGUUUCAUGUAAAAUUUGUAUUGGCAUAUAUGUUUGUCAUUAAAUACAUUUUCUUCUCUCGGAAUAUUAAAUUUCUUCUCUCGGAAUAUGAAAUAAAACAAUUACUGUCUUUUGUUUCGGUAAAUAUGGGGUUUAAUUGACUUUUGAAAAACUGAUAUUCACUUCGGCCGUCGGCCUCAGUGAAUAUCAGUUUUUCAAAAGUCAAUAAAACCGCAUAUUUACCUCAACAAAAGACAGUAAUUGUAUAUUAUCCAAUAUGCUCUAGACAAAAAUAAUUGAGGAGAGUAGAAGACUAAUAGUUAAAUUUUGUAAUAAAUAAAAAUGUGGACCUUUAACAUUACAUCCAAUAUAAUAGAAUUUUAACGUGAGGGAGCUAUAACCUUAGCCUUAAUUAAGUACAAUUAAAUAAGUAACUGAAAAUUCUGAAUCAAAAUAUAUUUUAUGUAUUUUUAUUUUUUACAUUAUUACAAUAAAAAAAUUCAACAGUAUCAGAAUUGCAACAAUAGAGACUCUUAUUUAUAAUUUCAGAAGAGAUUUUCCUUAAAAAUAAGUUUGCAAAUGCAUUUAUACUUAACCAGUAAUGAGGGAUUUACAAUAAUAAAUGCAUGCAUUAAUUUCUGAAUUUACAGAAUUUCAUCAUUCAUAUUUAAAUACAUAUCUGAUAUGCAAGUAAAAAUGGCAAUGUGCCAAGGGCUAUUCCAUUAAAAUUUAAGAUGGAGAAUAGGAAGGCAAUUUUAAAAAUUCCGAACAACCAAGAACCAUUUUUAGAUAAUUUUGCCUAAUGGUAAAAGACCACACUGAAAAAAGACCCAUGACCCACAUUCAGUAAUUAAACUCCCUUUCCUACCCUCCCACAUACAUUCAAAUGGAUUAGCCCUAUAGGAAUUUAAUCUAAAAAUGAAUACAAUAUCCAAUGUUAAUAUACAAGUUUUAUGACCAAAACAUUUAGAACUACAUAACUGUGUGUCAACAUCCUUCUACCAAGCGAAGGCUGCAAAUUUAAAUUAAAUAACUGAAUACACACUAUUAUAUAUCUUUGACAUAAUGAAUCAAAUAACAACUAACUAAAUAUAAAGCUGACGUAAUCAAUACAUUUUUGGCAAGAUCAUCACUGAAAUUUGGCUUACUCUAAAUUAAAUACUGUGGACUCAUUUAUUUUUGUGUGUUCCAAUUUUUCAUGUAUUAAGGAAUUCAAGAUGCAUUUUCUUGAAUAUUUGAUUGAAAGAAUUUUGCCAAAGCCUGCAUUAAUCUAAUAGAAAAUUUGCAAUUCUUUAAACAUUUUUAAAAUUUAUAAUUCACCUGUAUCCCAGAAAAUUGGAUUCCCACGAAUAACUUUCUUAUCAUUAAAGCAUUGUGACGCUAAUAAACUAACAAUGCAUUGAUAACAAUGAUUUAAAACUAUCUACAACCACAGAAAUGGGGCAGUGGUGUGGGACUUACCAAUGGUAUAUGUUGGCCAUUGUCAUCAGCAAAUGUAAUUUUAAAGAUGGUAGAAUUGAGGGUCUUUUUAUA
rnacentral:lncRNA from 1 species